GUUAAAGGUACCCGUACCGCAAACCGACACAGGUGGGUGAGGAGAGUAUCCUAAGGCCAGCGAGAGAACUGUUGUUAAGGAACUCGGCAAAAUGACCCCGUAACGUAGGGAUAAGGGGUGCCACCAUCAGGUGGCCGCAGAGAAUAGGCCCAAGCGACUGUUUACCAAAAACAUAGGUUUCUGCUAAGUCGCAAGACGAUGUAUAGGAGCUGACGCCUGCCCGGUGCUGGAA
rnacentral:rRNA from 1 species